rnacentral:rRNA from 1 species
AUUGAACGCUGGCGGCAGGCCUAACACAUGCCAGUCGAACGGUAACAGAAAGCAGCUUGCUGCUUUGCUGACGAGUGGCGGACGGGUGAGUAAUGUCUGGGAAACUGCCUGAUGGAGGGGGAUAACUACUGGAAACGGUAGCUAAUACCGCAUAACGUCGCAAGACCAAAGAGGGGGACCUUCGGGCCUCUUGCCAUCGGAUGUGCCCAGAUGGGAUUAGCUAGUAGGUGGGGUAACGGCUCACCUAGGCGACGAUCCCUAGCUGGUCUGAGAGGAUGACCAGCCACACUGGAACUGAGACACGGUCCAGACUCCUACGGGAGGCAGCAGUGGGGAAUAUUGCACAAUGGGCGCAAGACUGAUGCAGCCAUGCCGAGUGUAUGAAGAAGGCCUUCGGGUUGUAAAGUACUUUCAGCGGGGAGGAAGGGAGUAAAGUUAAUACCUUUGCUCAUUGACGUUACCCGCAGAAGAAGCACCGGCUAACUCCGUG